UGACGACGGAUUAGGAUUUCAUGGUGGCUUCCCUCACCAAUGGACUGCUCAUGACUCGGCAAGAUAGGGAGUGAGAAAGAACAGACAGUUUGUCAUCAUCGUUGCUUCUAACACAUCCCCCUUUCCAGCACUGCCUUGCGCCGCCCGCAUCCCAUCCUUGCCGCCGUUCCCACUUCGGGAGACGAACGCGCGGAAAGAAGACUCUCCUUGCAGAGGAAAAAAAUCUCUGGAGUCGAGGCCGCUGCAACAGAGGAAUCAAGAAGGUGAUGAUGCUUGAUGCACAUAGACGAUGCCAAGUCUCUUUCACAGCUUUUCUGAUGUCGUUGCAACACAAUGAGGAUUAGAGUAUUCUCUUUGAAGGUAUCAAGAAAAUUAAACGUUAUGUACAAAGAGAUUAAAUACUUCUGAUCAUAACAGAUCAAAAUGGUGGCGCGCCGAUCUGUUCAAAUGGUAGCACUUCACUGAUGUUGGCAUAGCUACCCUUAUACGGGCUUUGGAUUGGACUGACUUCAGCUCUUCAGAGUGACCGAGUACUACAUUACAUACAUGGGUGUGGGCCUCCCCUGCGGAUCCUUGCUACAACGAAUGAAAAUUGCAGGCAGACAAACACUUGAUGGAACAGGUGAAUGACAGGACCGUGAAGCUUACAGAGGCUAUGGAAUCUAUGGUGAUCUGAUGUCACAGAGCAGCGUAUGAGCUCUUGAUCACUUGAGUAAACAGCCGUCAAAAAUUAGUAAACUGUGAGUGCUACCUGCACUAUCCAACUGUUACAAUGAACUCUGUUGUUCAAUCCAUCCUUGUGGUGUUCUAAUUUGUAAUUAGUUCUUGGAUCGGUUUUUUAGAUGGACUACACCAUUAUGUACUAAUUUUCC